CUGGUGUUUUCUUUGUUCUGAUGAACACACCAUAGUAUUUCAAUUAGUAGAACCUCAUAUUUAUUACGCUAAUCUCACAAUUCUGUAAGGGAACAGGGCACUUCCUCUCGUGGAAAUGAAACUUCUAAAGGUUUUCAGCUCUGCAUUCUUCUGUAUGUCAUUUUGGAGUGUCUCCAUAACAUCCAACAGAGAGUUAACUUGUAUUUUCUAUUGCCAUUGCAAUGUCCCAAUGUUACCAGUCCUUCCCAGAUUUUCUCUAUCUACAGAAGCACCAGUGGAAACGUAUGUAUGGAUGUCAUAGUUCAGGGCCUGCUGGAAUGAACCCUCAGACCGACCUAUGUGUCCUCGGUGCAGUACCAUGUCAGCCCGUCCAAUAUAUAGCAUCUGCAUUUUGGAGAUAAUGCUGAAAGAAAUGUUUCAUCAUCUCACGAUGUGGACUUUGACCACUCUUCCUUGUUCCCUCAUCCUUCAGUCAUGGGUUCACGAAGGCAACCACAGAGCUGUUCCUCAUCCCCUGCCUCAAACCAGAAAGUAAUCCCAGUCCAGGAUACGAAUGAAGCAGAUCCAAAAACUUUUAAUACUGAUUUCAACCCCAACGCCCCCUGGAACCAUCAGACCAGAUGCAAGAUAUCUCUGAUUGAGCGCCACACAUGCUCUAUUGGCAAAAUGCCAAAUUGGUCCCUGGUCCUGCAGAUGCAGUGGAUGUGGCCGUAGGACAUAUCGAUAAACUCAACCUCACACGCCAGAGUGGUUGCUGCCUCACUGAGGUUACAGUUCUCUUUGCUCUCUUGAUAGGACCCACCAUAACCCACAACGCACUGUAGAUACCUGAGUUCUGCGUGUGCCAUCAUCCGUAGUCCUAUCCCUCUUUUCCCGCUGCCUCUGCUAGCUCAGAUUUGGCAGCUCGGAUCUUGGUCUCAGAUUCAAUUGUGGGAAUAUUUUGUGCUGAUUUUUUUGAGUUCUGUCAGCCAAGCAUCUGCUGUGCACCCCUCUAACACUCAGCACAUCAAAUUGAAUCCCAUGUGUGCCGCCCGCUUCAGAGUGUACGUCCAAGUAAAACAGUUUCACCUUUGAUGCUCCAUUACCAGAGAUCAGAUCCUGCACUGGUUUCCAUUCUCUACUUUGCCUUCUCCUGCUUCCAGGUUUUCUGAGGCCUCAUCAUGUCUUUGGAAAUAACAGACCAGUCUUCAGCAAGUGUCCUGUGCCAAGGGCUGGACGUCAGGAAUCUUGGACCCUUUCUUGGAGCAGAGAUUCGAGUAACUUUCUCAAGUGCACGUUGACACACCGUAUGUUUCUCAGAACAACUCUCAUCAAUGUGUUCGCACCUCUCCUCAAUCCGUGCCUCCAGCUUUUCUGCCAGCUUCUCUUCGUGUCUCCCAUAAAGUCGAAGUCAAGAGGACUGGGUAAGUCAGAAAGUACCGCGGAGCCACACCAGUAAGCUGAUGACAGGCAGAUCUUCCAAUGUCUGCCCUUUAAGAUUCUGGAAACUGUCCCUUGAUGUCAGGUCUUUGGGCAGCAGCAGUAUCUCGAACUUACACAGCUUCCUGAACAAAAGACCUAAGCCAAUCUCCACAUAGGGUAGUAGGCCCUCCAUCACACUGAUCCACCCAAAGUAUUCUGCCCAGUUACCUUGGAUCCACCAGCCACAACAAGCCUCGUGGUACUCACCAACA